GGAUAUAGCCAAGCGGUAAGGCAAUGGACUUUGACUCCAUCAUUCGCCAGUUCAAAUCCGGCUGUCC
rnacentral:tRNA from 1 species